UCACAAUCUGUGAAAAAGGAUUAAAUGGGAAUCAGGUGAAAAACCUGAACAGUCCCGCUGCUGUGAGCUUAAGGCAAAGCCGGAAAUUCUACGUGCCACUGAAUUUAUUCGGGAAGGUUUUUUCCGGUUAAGCGAGUCAGAAGACCAGCCAUUAAUUAA
rnacentral:ncRNA from 1 species